GGGGCGGAAGGGGGCGUGGCCGGCCGGGAGCCGGACGCGGGUGGAGAGGCGCGGGCAGCGGGCGUGGAAGGGAUAGGAGGGGGCCUCCGUUGCGCCGCCUCUGCUUGGAGUACUUGGGAGGAAAGAAAUCCAGUCUGUAAAGCCUGAUGAAAUCAGCCGGAAGGAUUACCCAGGGAUGAGACGAGGUUAUUAUAAAAUAUCUGCUGGAGCCACCACGCAGAUCUUGUGAGCUCGGAAGCUAGUGUUCCGUGUCAUCAUGGGCUCCGUUUGGUCACCCUGUGAAGUGACUCAGAUGAGUUGCCUGUCUUCGAGGCCUCGGCUCCUUCCUUUUCUCCUUCCUAAUGUCCGCAUUAGGUGUUCCCACAGCAUGCUGUGCACACCUUAUCCAAGCUCUUAAUGUACUCUUGUCUGAUGAGUGCCUUAAAGGGAUAUUUGUAAAGGAAACAGCUUUGGAAGAAUGAGAUGACCGUCUCCCUCCAAUGCCAAAGCCAGAUUUGUUGCCGUCAAGUAUAUUGAAGAUUUAAUGUCGCCCUCUGAGGCAAAGCCUGGACACUUUGGCCUGAAGUCCAUGAUGAAAGCCUGAAGUUUCCUAAGCUCAGGCUUCCUCAGCAGUGAUACAAACCCAUUGCAUGUGCAGCACCCGCCCGCCUGGACUACCAUCACGGGACUUGGGAGGCGAGGAAAACUGAAGGGGUACGAGGCUCAGGCUGCUUGCUGUGCUGUGAAUAAUCAAAGUCCUCUGUCUCUGAUCCCAGUACUUUCUGCCAGCACUUAGGAAGCUGUGUUAGCUUGUUAGCCCGGAAAGAGGGUAAACUCUUACACAAUUUUUCAUCAAGCUGCAAUGUUUAGCUUAAAGCAUAUGUUUAUUAUAUAUUUGUUGAAUUAAUUAGUGAACACUGUAUGACCCUUUGCUCAAGUUGUUGUAUAUAAGACAAUUUUUGUUAUCUCUUUAGGUCUCCAGGCUAUACAUUUCCAGCCUUCACACACACACACACACACACACACACAACCUAUUGGAAACAAAUUCAAGUUCCUUUAUAUUUGGCUGCUCUUAAGCAUGAUACAGUUACUUACCCAGAGAGUGGUCAAUCAUCUCAUUCAUUUUAAAUGUUGUAACGCAGCUACUACUUAUUGCACGUACACCUAUAUUGCCAGACAAAAUGUUAGGGUCACAUAGCUUGUAUAUCUCAAAGCUCCAGAGGACAGAGAUUUUGUCUUUUUUGUUGUAGACUAUACCCCAGUGCCCAGGGAAGUGCCUGGAAGUAGUUGGCUGUCGAUAAUAUUCAUUGAAUAAAUUGCCAGGGCUUGCAGUGAAUCACAUAUAGAGGCAGGGGUGAAUGAGAACAAGCAUGAAUCUUAUGUUCGGCAUAAGCAACAGGGGAAAAGCCAGUGCCACUUAUUAAUGUGGAGAACACUAGGGGAGAAGCAAGUUUGAGAAAGGAAAUUAAUUUUGAGCAUGAACAUGUUGAGUUUCAGAUAUCUGUAAAAUGUGCAAAUAGAGGUGUUUGAGUGGGCAAGUGUAUAUAUAGACAUAAAGCUCAGAGAAGAGAUUCCAUCUGGAGGUAUACAUGUGGUAUUCACAGCCUCCCAAAAUUGAUGGAUUUGAAGCCUGGGAGUGGGUGAGGUUGUUACUGGGGAGGAGCAUGUGGAGGGACAAGAAAAGAGAGCCUAGAACUUAGACUUAGAAACUUAACAAUUUAAUGGUUUUAUAGAAAAGGAUCCCCUAAUGAUUCUCGUUAGUGGCCUGACACAUUGAAGCAAAACCAGGAAAAUGAAAGCAAGAGAAGCUAAGAAAGAAACUGAGUCAAAAAGAAGGGAUGGACAAUGAUGUUCCAUGUUGAUAAGAGAUCAAGCAAGUUGUAUCUGGCAGUAUGAAGGUCACUGUUGACGUAGCAAGAGCCCUUUCACCGAAUGGUGGUAUAGAAGACUGGGCCAAAUUUAAUGGUAACUGGUGGUAAAGUAGUGACUGGUUAUUGAAACUGAGGAAGCCUGACUGUGAAUGGGAAGAAAGAGGUAAGGCAGUACUGGACGGCAAGGGGUUUGGGAGUCCAAGUAGAGUUUUUGUUGGUUUGUUUUUUAAAAUGGAAGAUACUUGGGGCACCUGGGUGGCUCAGUCGGUUGAGCGUCCAACUUCGGCUCAGGUCAUGAUCUCACAGCUCGUGAGUUCAAGCCCCGCGUCAAGCUCUGUGCUGACAGCUCAGAGCCUGGAGCCUGCUUCGGAUUCUGUGUCUCCCUCUCUCUCUGCCCCUAACCCACUCGCAUUCUGUCUCUGUCUCUCUCAAAAAUAAAUAAACAUUUAAAUAAAUAAAUAAAUAAAUAAAUAAAUAAAUAAAUAAAAUGGAAGAUACUAGA